rnacentral:misc_RNA from 1 species
UGUAGGAGCGAGCCUGCUCGCGAUAGCGGUGGGUCAGCCAAUACUAAUACCGACUGAUACACCGCUAUCGCGAGCAGGCUCGCUCCCACA